AAAGUCGUAACAAGGUUUCCGUAGGUGAACCUGCGGAAGGAUCAUUAACACUAUCCAAACCUUUCAAACCCCAAACCGUUGUUUUGUUUCUCUACUUUUAUAAACCGUAUGCUGAAGUAUGUUUCUUUUUUGUGAUAUAGUAUGUUAGAAUGUUGGAAACAACCUCUUGUGACCUCUAGUAUAUUCGAAAAAAAAUGUAUGGAAGUAUGCAAUUGUUUUCUUAUUAACCCCAACUAAAACAGUUUCUUGAACAGUUAAAAGGUGAAGAAGUAAUGCUCUUUGUCUUUGAUUUAUUUUAUAAAUCUAAACUAAGUACAACUCUAAGCGAUGGAUGUCUCGGCUCUU
rnacentral:misc_RNA from 1 species